rnacentral:rRNA from 1 species
CAGCCGCCGCGGUAAUACGGAGGAUCCGAGCGUUAUCCGGAUUUAUUGGGUUUAAAGGGUGCGUAGGCGGCCCAUUAAGUCAGGGGUGAAAGACGGUAGCUUAACUAUCGCAGUGCCUUUGAUACUGAUGGGCUUGAAUGUACUUGAAGUGGGCGGAAUGUGACAAGUAGCGGUGAAAUGCAUAGAUAUGUCACAGAACACCGAUUGCGAAGGCAGCUCACUAAAGUAUGAUUGACGCUGAGGCACGAAAGCGUGGGGAUCAAACAGGAUUAGAUACCCCGGUAGUCCCUGUCUCUUAUAC